UCGCUCUAAUACCUAGAGUCAAAUCCCUAGAGUUCAGGUAUUACAUCCCCUCAGGUUUCAGAGUUUAGACUGUGAGUGUGACAGGAUGUUUAGCCAGUGCUACAGGUCUUGUAAGAGCAGGAUGCAAAGGGGGAAAUGGAAUAUUGGACGUGAUUGACGGCCAAUGACCGUUGGUAGCAGAGGAUCAUGGGAGAGAAGAAGGGACCUGGAAGAGCCCCGAGAAGAACUCAGGGCUUCUGAGCUGGCGUCCGAAGAUGAUCACGAACUCUUUGAAGGCAGGGACUAUCGUUUGCCCUGCUUUGUGAAACCAGCUCUUGGCAAGGUGCCCACCCCAGGGUAGGCACUUAAUGAGGAUUUAUUGACUUGACUAUCAACCGGAGGGCCGUCUUUGAGAAAGGGGCUUCUACUCAAGUGAUUAGCAAAAACCCUUGUUACCAACGUCCUUUCAAAGUCUGUGACACACUCUUCCGCAAGCACAUAUAGCACCGGGGGAAAUGGGCUGAACUUAGAGAGCACAAAUGGCAAAGAACUUUCCAAAGUCAUUUUGCUGAUGGUCUGGAGUUCCCCUUAGCUUUUCUGCUGCUUCCUUGUAGAUCUUUGAAUCCAGCCUGUCCUUGAUUCUCAAUAAGGACACCCCACUGGGACAUCGAGGGGAAGAUGGAAGGUCUAAAGUCCUUUGAAUGCUUCAAAGUCCUCCUACUACCGAGGUCGAGGUAAUGAGGGAGUGAAGAAACCAAGGUCUGGGUCAUUUUCCUGUUCAAGGGCUUGGCUGAGUCAACUCGUUCACCUUCCCAACUAGCUAGAUUAAAACAACACAUUAUAAAUACAUUAAAAUAGCACAUUUA